GACGAACGCUGGCGGCGUGCCUAAUACAUGCAAGUAGGACGCAGUUGCGAACGGGUGAGAAACGCGUAGGUAACUAACUAUUAGAGGGGGAUAACUAUUGGAAACGAUAGCUAAUACCGCAUACUAGUAGAUGGACCUGCGGUGUAUUAGCUAAGAGGUAGGGUAAUGGCCUACCUAGGAAACGAUACAUAGCCGACCUGACAGGGUGAUCGGCAAAACUUGGACGGAGGCACGGCCCAGAACUCUAAGGGAGGCAGCAGGAGGGAAUGUUCGGCAAUGGGGGGAACCCUGACCGAGCAACGCAGCGGGAGUGAAGAAGGUUGUCGGAUCGGAAAGCUCUGUUGUUAAGGAAGCGGUACUUACCCAGAAAGGGACGGCUAACUACGUGCCAGCAGCCGCGGUAAUAC
rnacentral:rRNA from 1 species